CAAGUUGAGUAGCUAAUUGUAUUCUUUAACCCACAAUAAACAAAGAAGUGCACUUGUUACGUAGUAUAGGAUGGUACUAAGUGUUAUGAUAAUCAAAUUUCCAAUGGUUUAAUCACAAUCUUCAAUACCAAACAUGCCUCUAGCGGACACAUAUCUCUACCUAUAUGUAUGUGUAGUUAGUUCCUCAUUAGAUUCACAAGUUGUAGAAGUGAAGACCAAAGAGUAGACAUGGCUUCCAAACCUGGGAUUCUCACUGAAUGGCCAUGGACAAGACUUGGGAGUUUCAAGUAUCUGGUUUUAAGUCCAUUCAUAAUUCGUGCGACAUAUCUGUAUAUGGUAAAGGAUGCAAGUGAGAGAUCUCUCUCUCAAUUCUUGAUUUUCCCAUUGUUAAUCUCAAAAUUUUU